GUGUGGUGUGUGUACUUUCAGGGAGUAGGAGGUUGGCCCAGUUCCAAGAACUAGACAAAGUCCUCUUGCAAAGGAUCGAAAACAACUAUGUGAUCCUGGCUGGAAUGCUAGUCCAUGACCCAGAUGAUCCAUUUCUAGAAUGCACUCAGGACCAGGGAGAAGCAAAGAAAUAAGAGAAAGCCACAGAUGACAGAUUAAGAGGUCACCAACUGCCAAUUUCAUAAUGUGGAAUGAAACAGAAAGAUAGGAAAAGACAAGAUCAUGCAUUGGCUUGGAGACAAGUUUUCCAGAUGCAAGGCUCGCCCCUCAAACUUUGCGAUACCCUGGAACCUAAGAAUUUUGUGCGCUGAAGGGACUGAUUGUGAAUCAAAUUUUUCAUCAGGUUUGGAAGGAUUUAUUGAGGAAUCCUGAAGGAAAAAUCUCCUGUCACCAAAACAUAAUGAGACGUGGGUGGUGUAUGUGAUUACCGAGGACCCAUGGAGCUCCAGAUUUUUACGAUUCUCACAUUUAUGCAAGUGCAAGUAUCACCAGUGUUCUACCUAUGAAAUCUCUGAAGAGACUGAUCUGUACAAAAAAGAAAACAAACCUUGAUUUUCAUUAAUAAACUCUUAAAAUGGACUCCAGCAUGCUCAGAUUUUUUUCUAAGAAACACACUGAUCAGCCAUUGUUCUCUUUCAUAAAGGUAGAUACAUUCAGGGGCUUUAAGGUUCU